CAAGGAAUUAGUUAAAUUAACCAUAACACCGGAUUGUCAGACCGGAAUCACUAGCAAUCAUCCUAGUAUUUCUUGAC
rnacentral:tRNA from 1 species